GGGGGGAGGCCGGGCCUGGGCUGUGUCCCAGCACCCUGUGUUCCCGGGCCUGCGCUGUUGGAUUCGCGCUCCUGGCCGCGCAGCGCCCU
rfam:Canis lupus familiaris chromosome 8, whole genome shotgun sequence.